rnacentral:rRNA from 1 species
UUGAACGCUGGCGGCAUGCCUUACACAUGCAAGUCGAACGGUAACAGGUCUUCUGAUGCUGACGAGUGGCGAACGGGUGAGUAAUACAUCGGAACGUGCCCGCUCGUGGGGGAUAACGCAGCGAAAGCUGUGCUAAUACCGCAUACGAUCUACGGAUGAAAGCAGGGGACCGCAAGGCCUUGCGCGGACGGAGCGGCCGCUGGCAGAUUAGGUAGUUGGUGGGAUAAAAGCUUACCAAGCCGACGAUCUGUAGCUGGGCUGAGAGGACGACCAGCCACACUGGGACUGAGACACGGACCAGACUCCUACGGGAGGCAGCAGGGGGGAAUUUUGGACAAUGGGGGAAACCCUGAUCCAGCCAUGCCGCGUGCAGGAUGAAGGCCGUCGGGUUGUAAACUGCUUUUGUACGGAACGAAAAGAUCUCUUCUAAUAAAGGGGAUUCAUGACGGUACCGUAAGAAUAAGCACCGGCUAACUACGU